ensembl:lncRNA
AGUGGCUGACGAACUCCCUGAAAUACAAGCUGCAUUGCCAUUAGCUUUUCUCCUAUGAUCUUAGUAGCAGACCAAUAGGGAGAAGAGAACAAUUCAUGUUUGAGAGCGUUGAGAACCAAGGCCCAGAGAGGGAAAGUGAUUUGCCCAAGGCCCCUCGGCAAGUCUGGUGGUCUUCGUUGCGGCACCCAGGAUCUUCACUGUGGCAAGGCUCGCAGGCUUCUCUCUAGUUUUGGUGUGAGGGCUCAGUAGGUGCUUUUGGCCCUUCUUACAGUGGAAAUUCCCAGAGGGAAGGAGGGACAGGAUUGGCAGAUGAUGAGGGUCCCUAAAACCCAGCACACUGGUGUACACAGUUUGUAUGAACCCCCUGGCCCAUCGAAGGGCCUCCCCUAAGUGCUCAUGGCAGCUUCAGGAUGGCAGCAAGUCCAUUUCAUGGAUGAGAAGACCAUGGCCCAGGGUGCUGAAGGCAUUCGCCUAUGGUCACCCAGCUAGAUUGUGCCAAGACUGGAGCCCAGGCCUGGCUGGUUCCAGGUCAGCCUUUUCUAUUGCUCCUGGAGGCACCCCAGCAGCAU